rnacentral:rRNA from 1 species
GGUCAAGCUACGUAGGGUUUGUGGUGGAUGACUAGGUGUCGACAGGCGAUGAAGGACGCGGUAAGCGGCGAUACGCUUCGGGGAGUCGCAAACAGACUUUGAUCCGGAGAUUUCCGAAUGGGGCAACCCCUUACGGCUCAUCCCGUAAGAUCAUCCGCUGAAUUCAUAGGCGGAUGAAGCGAUACCCGGGGAAGUGAAACAUCUCAGUACCCGGAGGAAAAGAAAACGAAGAUAUUCCCCCAGUAGCGGCGAGCGAAAAGGGAAUAGCCCAAACCCGUUAAACUUAUAGCCUGCAGGCGUUGUUUAGCGGGGGUUGCGGGGCGUUACCGGACUUCUCUGCAUAGAAGUCGCUCUGUUACAAAGUUGCUGCAUAAUCGAGCGCGUUGGAAAACGCGACUACAAAAGGUGAUAGUCCUGUAGAUGAAAUGCACGCGACCAGAGCGGGUGACGAUCCCAAUUACUACCCGACACGGGAAACCGGGUAGGAAUUCGGCCGGACCACCGGCCAAGGCUAAAUACUCGUUGGCAACCGAUAGUGAACCAGUACCGUGAGGGAAAGUUGAAAAGAACCCAGGAAUGGGAGUGAAAUAGUACCUGAAACCGCAAACUUGCAAGCUGUGGGAGCCCUAUAUACGAAGCGCAAGCGUCGUAAAUGGGUGACCGCGUGCCUUUUGCAUAAUGAUCCGGCGAGUCAAUCUUUGAUGCGAGGUUAAGGACAACGUGUCCGGAGCCGAAGCGAAAGCGAGUCCUAACUAGGGCGAUUUAGUAUCAGGGAUUGGACCCGAAGCUGAGUGAUCUACCCAUGGCCAGAGUGAAGCCUGAGUAAAAUCAGGUGGAGGCUCGAACGGGUGACUGUUGAAAAAGUCUCCGAUGAGCUGUGGGUCGGAGUGAAAGGCUAAUCAAACUCAGUAAUAGCUGGUUCUCCUCGAAAUAUCUUUAGGGAUAGGCUCGUAACAUUGAAUACCGGGGGUAGAGUACUCAAUGGGCUAGGGACCUCACCAGGUUACCGAACCCAAUGAAACUCCGAAUACCGGUAUUUUUACUACGGGGCUCAGAACGCCAGGGCUAAGCUUGGCGCUCAAAAGGGAAAAAGCCCAGACCGCCAGAUAAGGUCCCUAAUAUUCGCUAAGUGGUAAAGGAUGUGAGACCGCGUUAACAACCAGGAUGUUGGCUUAGAGGCAGCCAUCAUUUAAAGAGUGCGUAACAGCUCACUGGUCGAUUGUGGUCUUGCGCCGACAAUGAUCGGGGCUCAAGCGAAUAACCGAAUCUGCGGAUUCAUUUUGUCUUCGGACAGAGUGAGUGGUAGGGGAGCGUUCCACAAUAGGCUGAAGGCAUACCGUAAGGAGUGCUGGACGAAGUGGAAGUGAUUAUGCCGGAAUGAGUAGCGAAAAAACACGUGGAAAACGUGUUCGCCGAAAGUCUAAGGUUUCCUGGGGAAGGUUAAUCCACCCAGGGUUAGUCGAUCCUAAGCUGAGGCCGAAAGGCGUAAGUGAUGGACAAUGCGUUAAUAUUCGCAUACCACCUAUUUUGCGUUACCAACUGGUCAGGGACGCAGGAGGCUAAGCAAUCAGGCUGUUGGAUGUGCCUGUUUGGAUCCGUACCCGUGCCCGCGAGGGCAUGGAGAGGGAUUCGAGGAGUCAAAGCUACGGCUGAGAUAAACUUGCUGACGCCACACUGUCGAGAAAAUCUGAUCGUGUGAGUGAGAUAGGUGAUCGUACCGCAAACCGACACAGGUAGACGAGGAUAAAUGUCCUCAGGCGCUCGAGAGAACCGUUCUUAAGGAACUCUGCAAUCUAGCCCCGUAACUUCGGAAUAAGGGGUGCCUUAUUUUGUGGUGCGCCAUACGGCGCAUUGCAUCGUAAGGUCGCAGUGAAAUGGGCGCCGCGACUGUUUAGCAAAAACUCAUCUCUCUGCAAAGUCGCAUCAUAAGACGACGUAUAGGGAGUGACACCUGCCCGGUACUGGAAGGUUAAAGAGAGGGGUUAUCCGUAAGGAGAAGCUCCGAACCGAAGCCCCAGUAAACGGCGGCCGUAACUAUGAAGUAGAUCAUUGGGACGAUUGUUGUAGUUACGUUAAUAAACUUGGCUAUAUGCUGGAACAUCUCGUUGAAAUUCAGUACUGCAUCAUAAUUAUAUUGCAGUGACAAUCUGAACGGAGAGACAAUCAGCAGGAAAGAUCCACAGAGUUUUUUAGUGGAAAUCCUCAGAGACUGCACGCCGAGCUUCUUCAAAAAAGAAGAAGAUGAUACAGUCCGAUCUUCAUGGUGACAUGAAGAGUGAGUAGUUAAUCUCAUCGCUUUCGCAAGAAAGCGUAACAACAUGAACGGUCCUAAGGUUAGUAACGCUAGCCUGCUUCGAUGGUAACAUCGAAGGUAAUAUUCAACUAUAUGCGGGAAACUCUUCAAAAGAUGCUGGUACUCGUUGAUCUUCGGAUGCAACAGUAAAAAACCAACAUACAAGGAGACAAUCCGCAGGGAAGGCAUAGAAAACUAUGAACCCUCAGAGACUACAAGUUGAAUAUCCGGAAAGUCACGAGACUUUAUUGAGUCCGGAUUGGUUGGUGGGUUUCGUGGAUGGCGAAGGUUGUUUUCACGUCGGAAUAAGCAAACACAACGAGGUCAAAUUCGGUUACCAGAUUUUGCCGGAGCUGACGGUUGUUCAGCAUCAAAGUGAUAUCGCUCUUCUUCAUCGAAUACGCACAUUUAUGCAGUGCGGCGUGGUGAGAAGAAAUCAUGGAGAUCGCUAUUGCUGGCGAGUUCGAGAUUUAAAAAAUCUCACUCAGAUUAUUCUGCCGUUUUUUCAAAAGCAUCCUUUGAGGUCCAAGAAAAACAUCGAAUUCGAAAAGUUCGCUGAUGUCGUUCGCCGAAUGCAAAAAGGUGAACAUUUAACAGCGGACGGAUUUAAUAAAAUUGUGACUCUCGCUUCAAGCAUGAAUAAAAAACAUGAUAGGAGCGAACGGAUAAAGAUAGAGUCCGAACCGUGAUGAAACUCAUGGAUAAUUCGAGCGAAAUUCCUUGUCGGGUAAGUUCCGACCUGCACGAAUGGUGUAACGAUGGUGCCGCUGUCUCAAGAACGGACUCGGUGAAAUUGUAGCGGCGGUGAAGAUGCCGUCUACCCGCAGCUAGACGAAAAGACCCCGGAACCUUUACUGUACUCUGGUAUCGAUCUUUGGUCCGCUAUGUGUAGGAUAGUUGGGAGGCUUUGAGGCCCUGCCGCUAGGUAGGGCGGAGCCAACGUUGAAAUACCAACCUUAGUAUACUAGGGAUCUAACCCCAGACUCUAAAUCGAGUUGGGGGACUGUGCCAGACGGGCAGUUUGACUGGGGCGGUUUCCUCCUAAAGAGUAACGGAGGAGUGCAAAGGUUCCUUCAGUGCGGUUGGCAAUCGCACGCUGAGUGUAAUAGCAUAAAGGAGCUUAACUGCGAGACUCACAAGUCGAGCAGGUAGGAAACUAGGCUAUAAUGAUCCGGCGCUUUCUAGUGGUAGAGGCGUCGCUCAACGGAUAAUAGGUACUCCGGGGAUAACAGGCUUAUCGGGUCCAAGAGUUCAUAUCGACGACCCGGUUUGGCACCUCGAUGUCGGCUCAUCACAUCCUGGGGGUGGAGAAGCUCCCAAGGGUCCGUCUGUUCGCCGGUUAAAGUGGUACGUGAGCUGGGUUCAGAACGUCGUGAGACAGUAAAAAGACUAAAAAGUCACCUUGCUGUCAUAAAAUCUAGCUAUAUGCUGGAAAAUCCCGUGUAUCCCACACUACUCGCCGCGGGCGAGUGAAAAUGUGUUGGGUGGGGACAAUCAGCAGGAAAGGUUGAGAAAGUGGACGCUUCCUACAUCGUAGGUUUUGUCGAUGGUGAGGGUAGCUUUCAUGUUGCUUUUCAAAAACGUCCUGAGUUGAAAUUUGGAUGGCAGGCCAUCCCGGAAUUUCAUAUCAGUCAGAAUUUCACGAGUCGUGAAGUUUUGGAGGAGAUUAAAAAUUUCUUCGGAUGUGGUUACAUCAAAGCAAAUGAUGCUCCCGGAAAACGCGAUAAAACACUGGUGUAUGUCGUUCGGGAUCGAAAUGAUCUUCAGAACAAAGUCGUUCCAUUUUUUCGGAAAUUUCCAUUACACACCGCAAAGCGCGGUGAUUUUGAAAUUUUCCAAGAGAUAGUCCAAAUGAUGACAAUGGAUCGGCAUUUGACUUCAUUGGGGUUUCAAAAAAUAGUUCGAUUGGCAUUCAGAAUGAAUGCGAAUGGAAAAUACCGGAAGUUAAAUAUCAAUUCGAUAUUGACGCCCAACAUCCUCAGAGACUAUACGCUGGAUGCCCAAGUAAUUGGGUAAAGAUAUAGUCCGAUCUUCGUGGCGACAUGAAGACUCACGGAGAAAUUUGUGAGCGCCCACCAAAGAUCUGUGGCGGGUUAGUAUUCGUAGAAUAUUUACGAAGAAGUAACAUAAAUGUCGGUCUCUAUCUGCUGCGGGCGCAGGAUAUUUGAAAGGAUCAUUCUCUAGUACGAGAGGACCGAGAAUGACGAACCUCUGGUGUUCCAGCCGUGCCGCCAGGUGCGAGAGCUGGGUAGCUAUGUUCGGAAAGGAUAAGCACUGAAAGCAUCUAAGUGCCAAGCCCCCCUUGAGAUAAGAUAUCCCUGUCGCCGAAAGGCGACCUAAAGACCCCACGUAGAUCACGUGGUUGAUAGGCCAGGUGUGUAAGAGCCGCAAGGCUUUCAGCUUACUGGUACUAAUUGGUCGUGAGGCUUGACCUACAA